rnacentral:ncRNA from 1 species
GUAGUAGGUCUACCGAAAACGCCAUACAGGUGGAGUUUUCAAACCACUCUAAGGUGCUGUAUUCAAAAGAUAUGGUAUUGAGCGUUAGAGAAAAGGCAAUGUAAAAUUGUCAGG